rnacentral:rRNA from 1 species
GGUGAACGCUGGCGGCGUGCUUAACACAUGCAAGUCGAACGGGAAUUAUUUUAUUGCAACUUCGGUCGAUUUAAUUUAAUUCUAGUGGCGGACGGGUGAGUAACGCGUGGGUAACCUGCCUUAUACAGGGGGAUAACAGUCAGAAAUGGCUGCUAAUACCGCAUAAGCGCACAGAGCUGCAUGGCUCAGUGUGAAAAACUCCGGUGGUAUAAGAUGGACCCGCGUUGGAUUAGCUGGUUGGUGGGGUAACGGCCCACCAAGGCGACGAUCCAUAGCCGGCCUGAGAGGGUGAACGGCCACAUUGGGACUGAGACACGGCCCAGACUCCUACGGGAGGCAGCAGUGGGGAAUAUUGCACAAUGGGGGAAACCCUGAUGCAGCGACGCCGCGUGAAGGAAGAAGUAUCUCGGUAUGUAAACUUCUAUCAGCAGGGAAGAUAGUGACGGUACCUGACUAAGAAGCCCCGGCUAACUACGUG